ensembl:miRNA
UCUGUGCUUCUCUGUGGAUGGAUGUGGGCAGUUGUGGCUCCAGGCACUGCUCGCCCGACCCCAGAGUGGGCAGA